AGUAGUAGAACCACUAGUACCAGGACAUUCCGUCGUAACAUCCACAAGUUGGAAAAAAAAGGUGACCGAAUUGCUUUUAGUCGGUAGAGAGAGAAAGUUUAGAGAGAGAGAGAGAGAGAGAGAGCUAGAUCUCCAACAAGCCACACCCAAAAACUUUUACGAUCGAUUUGGUUUAUCUGAUCCAUUUCUUCUUCUUCUUCCUCUCCUCGCAACUCACACAGUAACUAGUGAUCUCUUUAUUGUCCAAUGAAGCAUUGGUACAGCCUAAAAGAUCAGAAGAAAUCACAUUUGAUUUUCAGAUAGAUACAUCUAAACCAGUAUACUUAUGAGGAGGCACAAGCAAUUUUCUACGGGAAUUCAACAGCUUUUUUCUUGGAAAUUGUAAUGUGGAGGUUGGCAUCAUGAACUUCAAU